CCUACGGGAGGCAGCAGUGGGGAAUAUUGGACAAUGGGCGAAAGCCUGAUCCAGCCAUGCCGCGUGUGUGAAGAAGGCCUUCGGGUUGUAAAGCACUUUCAGUGGGGAAGAAAGCCUUGGGGCUAAUACCCUCGAGGAAGGACAUCACCCACAGAAGAAGCACCGGCUGACUCCGUGCCAGCAGCCGCGGUAAUACGGAGGGUGCGAGCGUUAAUCAGAAUUACUGGGCGUAAAGCGCGCGUAGGCGGUCUGAUAAGCCGGUUGUGAAAGCCCCGGGCUCAACCUGGGAACGGCAUCCGGAACGGUCAGGCUAGAGUGCAGGAGAGGAAGGUAGAAUUCCCGGUGUAGCGGUGAAAUGCGUAGAGAUCGGGAGGAAUACCAGUGGCGAAGGCGGCCUUCUGGACUGACACUGACGCUGAGGUGCGAAAGCGUGGGUAGCAAACAGGAUUAGAUACCCCAGUAGUC
rnacentral:rRNA from 1 species